UACGUAGGGUGCAAGCGUUGUCCGGAAUUAUUGGGCGUAAAGAGCUCGUAGGCGGUCUGUCGCGUCUGCUGUGAAAACUCAGGGCUUAACCCUGAGCUUGCAGUGGGUACGGGCAGACUAGAGUGCGGUAGGGGAGACUGGAAUUCCUGGUGUAGCGGUGAAAUGCGCAGAUAUCGGGAAGAACACCCGUGGCUAAGGCGGCUCUCUAGUACGGUACUGACGCUGAGACGCGAAAGCGUGGGGAGCGAACAGG
rnacentral:rRNA from 1 species